rnacentral:rRNA from 1 species
AGAAUGAACGCUGGCGGCGUGGUUAAGACAUGCAAGUCGAACGGUGUUUCAGAUGUAGCAAUACAUUUGAAACGCAGUGGCGAACGGGUGCGUAACACGUGAACAAUUUACCUUUUAGUGUGGAAUAGCUCGACGAAAGUCGGAUUAAUACCGCAUGUGGUUGUCUCU